rnacentral:rRNA from 1 species
UUAAGCAUAUCAAUAAGCGGAGGAAAAGAAACCAACAGGGAUUGCCCUAGUAACGGCGAGUGAAGCGGCAACAGCUCAAAUUUGAAAUCUGGCCCUCGGGUCCGAGUUGUAAUUUGUAGAGGAUGCUUUUGGCGCGGUGCCUUCCGAGUUCCCUGGAACGGGACGCCAUAGAGGGUGAGAGCCCCGUCUGGUUGGACACCAAGCCUCUGUAAAGCUCCUUCGACGAGUCGAGUAGUUUGGGAAUGCUGCUCUAAAUGGGAGGUAUAUGUCUUCUAAAGCUAAAUAUAGGCCAGAGACCGAUAGCGCACAAGUAGAGUGAUCGAAAGAUGAAAAGCACUUUGAAAAGAGAGUUAAAUAGCACGUGAAAUUGUUGAAAGGGAAGCGCUUAUGACCAGACUUGGGCUUGGUUGAUCAUCCCGCGUUCUCGCGGGUGCACUCUUCCGGCUCAGGCCAGCAUCAGUUCGUCGCGGGGGAAAAAGGCGUCGGGAAUGUGGCUCCCCCGGGAGUGUUAUAGCCCUUCGUGAAAUACCCUGCGGUGGACUGAGGACCGCGCUUCGGCAAGGAUGCUGGCGUAAUGGUCAUCAGCGACCCGUCUUGAAACACGGACCAAGGAGUCGUCUUCGUAUGCGAGUGUUCGGGUGUCAAACCCCUACGCGUAAUGAAAGUGAACGCAGGUGAGAGCUUCGGCGCAUCAUCGACCGAUCCUGAUGUUCUCGGAUGGAUUUGAGUAAGAGCAUACGGGGCCGGACCCGAAAGAAGGUGAACUAUGCCUGUAUAGGGUGAAGCCAGAGGAAACUCUGGUGGAGGCUCGCAGCGGUUCUGACGUGCAAAUCGAUCGUCAAAUAUGGGCAUGGGGGCGAAAGACUAAUCGAACCUUCUAGUAGCUGGUUUCCGCCGAAG